GACAGAGGGUGCAAACGUUGUUCGGAAUUACUGGGCGUAAAGCGAGUGUAGGCGGUUUGGAAAGUCGGAUGUGAAAGCCCCGGGCUCAACCCGGGAAGUGCAUUCGAUACUGCGGUGCUAGAGGACUGGAGAGGAAACUGGAAUUCACGGUGUAGCAGUGAAAUGCGUAGAUAUCGUGAGGAAGACCUGUGGCGAAGGCGGGUUUCUGGACAGAUCCUGACGCUGAGGCACGAAGGCCAGGGGAGCAAACAGG
rnacentral:rRNA from 1 species